GACGAACGCUGGCGGCGUGCUUAACACAUGCAAGUCGAACGGAGAUUAUUAAUGAAGCUUGCGAUUUAAUAAUCUUAGUGGCGGACGGGUGAGUAACGCGUGGGCAACCUACCCAUAAGCGGGGGAUAACAGUCGGAAACGACUGCUAAUACCGCAUAAGCUAUUAAGGUCGCAUGACCUAAAUAGUAAAGGUGGCAUUUUAACAGUGCUAUCACUUAUGGAUGGGCCCGCGUCUGAUUAGCUAGUUGGUGGGGUAGCAGCCUACCAAGGCAACGAUCAGUAGCCGGCCUGAGAGGGUGGACGGCCACACUGGGACUGAGACACGGCCCAGACUCCUACGGGAGGCAGCAGUGGGGAAUAUUGCGCAAUGGGGGAAACCCUGACGCAGCGACGCCGCGUGAGCGAAGAAGGCCUUAGGGUCGUAAAGCUCUGUUGUAAGGGACGAAUGUUUGUCUGGCGAACAGUCAGAUAAAGUGACGGUACCUUACCAGCAAGCCCCGGUAACUACG
rnacentral:rRNA from 1 species